AUAAGCGGGGUUUGGGAAAUUUUACAGAACCCCCAACCUGCUCAUUUCUUCCAUGGCUAUAUUAAUGGGUUUUUUUGUUGGUUUUUAGUUUUUUUGUAGAGAUGAGGUCUCACCAUGUUGCCCAGGCUGGUCUCAAACUCCUAGGCUCAAGCGAUUCACCCGCCUCAGCCUCCCAAAGUGCUGGGAUUACAGGUGUGGGCCACUGCGCCUGGCCCUAUGAAUGGCUUUAUUUAUUUAUUUGUUUUUGAGACAGAGCUUCUCUCUUGUUGCCCAGGCUGGAGUUCAGUGGCGCCAUCUCAGCUCACUGCAACCUCUGCCUCCUGGGUUCAAGCGAUUCUCCCGCCUCAGCCUCCUGACUAGCUGGGAUUACAGGUGCCCGCCACGGUGCCUGGCUAAUUUUUUUGUAUUUUUAGUAGAGAUGGGGUUUCACCAUGUUGGCCAGGCUGGUCUCAAACUCCUGACCAGGGGUCAUCCGCUCGCCUCGGCCUCCCAAAGUGCUGGGAUUACGGGCGUGAGCCACCGCGCCCAGCCCUAUGAAUAGUUUUAAUGCCGCACUAUUGAGAGGUUAUGAGAGCUGACGUGCCGGGCAGCUGCUUGGGAGAAAGGCCCAGUGUCUGGGUGACGUCGCGUCUCCAUACUGUCUCAUUGAGGCUUUUCCUCUUUUCUCAUCACAGCAUCCUAAUGUCCUAUGAUCACGUGGAACUCACAUUCAAUGACAUGAAGAACGUGCCAGAAGCCUUCAAAGGGACCAAGAAAGGCACUGUCUACCUUACCCCUUACCGGGUCAUCUUUCUGUCCAAGGGCAAGGAUGCCAUGCAGUCCUUCAUGAUGCCAUUUUAUCUCAUGAAAGACUGUGAGAUCAAGCAGCCCGUAUUUGGUGCAAACUACAUCAAGGGAACAGUGAAGGCGGAAGCGGGAGGUGGCUGGGAAGGCUCUGCUUCCUACAAGUUGACUUUCACGGCAGGGGGCGCCAUUGAGUUCGGACAGCGGAUGCUCCAGGUGGCAUCUCAAGGUAUCCAGGCUCCGAAGAUUAGGGGCUAAAGACACACUAAACAUGUAGGGGUUUGGUAUGAGUUUGCUUCCUUUUCGUUUUGCUUUUUCAAGAACUCAAGAGGUAAGUGUUUGGGCACCAGGCUGACCAGGCCUAGGAGUUGGGAAGGAAAGCUGUCAUUGGCAUCAGCUCUGUCCUGUACCUCAGAGACUGCGUUUCCCUGCCUGGGGCAGGUGGAUGACGUUUUGACAAAGCUGUUUGGACUCAAGGACACUUUACUAUGGCCUCAUAAAACAAACACUAAACCAACCAUUCGACUGCGGUUCCGCAGCCAUUGAAAAUGACCGAGGGAUGGGCCAGCAGACAUCCUCCGCCAGCUCACUCCUACCCCAGCCCUGAGCCUCCCUCCCGGCCUCUGUCCACCCUCCAGCCUUGCCCUUGACCUCCCUUGCCUUCCCCUGGCUCUGACCUCUCCCGUCCUCUCUCAUCCCUGACCAAGGUGGCCCCCCGAGUAUGGGUGGAGGGUGGAGUGGGAUGGACAGAGGAUGUCUGCGGGGCACAUUCCUGAGACCCAGUAGCUCCCAUCUGCAGGCAGCGGGGCUGCCCUCUCCCCGCCCCAAGGCAGGCCACGCUCAUUUCUCUUUCCCCUUGUACUCGUAGCCUCCAGAGGUGAAGUCCCCAGUGGAGCCUAUGGCUACUCUUACAUGCCCAGCGGGGCCUAUGUCUAUCCCCCGCCAGUCGCCAAUGGAAUGUACCCCUGCCCUCCUGGCUACCCCUAUCCACCGCCCCCACCUGGUGAGUGUGUCCUUUGCUGCCCCCACUCCCCUCAUGAGCCCACCUACCCAGGCUCCCCCCAGGCCAGGGAGACUUUAUUCCUUGAGCUGCUUCAGGACCAACGAAGGAGCUGGAGAGGCCCCCCUCACCCGGGAGGGGGCCGCAGCCGGGUGCUCACCAUGUCCUUGUUACUCUCUCACCGAGCAGAGUUCUAUCCAGGACCCCCCAUGAUGGACGGGGCCAUGGGAUACGUGCAGCCCCCACCACCGCCCUACCCUGGGCCCAUGGAACCUCCGGUCAGCGGCCCCGAUGUCCCCUCCACUCCUGCAGGUGAGGGCCCUUGGGUGCUGGCAGCCCUUCGGGACCAGCCCUCUCCUCCCCGAUGUCGCACAGAGAGCCUCAGAAUGGCCAGAGACUGCUGAGAGCCGCAGAUGAUGGAUGACCCCUGGACUACCCCAGGGGCCCAGCAGGGCUGUGGCCUGGUGGAGCGGAGCUAGAUUCUGGCCCCACCCCCAUCCCUUAGCUAUCCAUGUGCCCUGGGCGGGGAAGGUCACCCUGUGUGCCUCUCGAUCCUCUCAUCUACACUCAGCUGGUCGGUCACAGUGGCACCUGGGGCAUUGGCUCAAGGAUUAGAUGAGGUGAGACAUGCGAUGGGCCUGGAAAGGACCGUGCCAGCGCGUGGCAUGUGCUCAGGAAACCUCACCUGCUGCUCUCAUUGGUGGAACUGGACCCCCAGCACCAGCUGCCCCGAGCCAUGGGGGCCCGGGGUCUCUUAGCUGAGCUCAGGGGGAGGAGAACUUGUCACCGACACCAGGUGUGUUUGCUCUCACAGCCGAAGCCAAGGCCGCAGAAGCAGCCGCCAGCGCCUAUUACAACCCAGGCAAUCCUCACAACGUCUACAUGCCCACGAGCCAGCCGCCGCCACCUCCCUACUACCCACCGGAAGAUAAGAAGACCCAGUAGGCCCUCCUGCCUCCCUGCCUCCCACCCUCAUCUCUCUACCCUACCCCUCCCAUCGGGGCUGUGCUGGGGCUUGGGGAGGGGAGGGGGCGCCUUGUUCUCCCUCCAGGUCUGAUCAUAAACAAUUACCAGGAACUAGCAUUGUGGGACAUUAGGGCCCCCGGCCUCGGGAGAGGUGCCGCCCAGCUUCCCAUGCCAGCCCGGAGCCCACAGUGCUGCCCAGCGUACCUCCCUCACCGUCUGGGGCUCUUCUGGGAGCACGGAGCAUCCCCUGUUCCUGUUUCACUCUCAGCUUCUCCCCUCGAAGGGACUCUCUGGCCACCUCCUCCACCGCAGUCCAGCUCCCUCAGUCUGGCACCCACUGCUACACUCAGCCUCAUGAGCCACUUCAGACCAGCCAGGUGUCUUCCCGGGCCCUGCCAGACCCUGCUCACAUUCCCUCUGCUGGUCUGUGCUGGUCUCAGAAGGCCACCGCGCCCGCAUUCCACUCAGCCAGGGUCCAGCUGCAGCCCCCGCCACCCUUCCUUCCCUUCCCUGUCCUGGGUCAUGUUGUUGCCACCCUGUGUGACUUUUGAAGCUGUAAAAUGAGCUUCCAGGGCUUGGGUGGCGUCGGGGCAGGGCCGCCGAGGCUGGGAGGAAGCCCUUCUGCCUUUUGCUGGUGUUUCUGGAAUUUGCUUUCCCUCACCUCUCACUUCCUUCUAGAAGGAGCUUCCUGACUGGAACCAGAGAAUGCAUGUCUGUCCACUUGGUGGCUGCUGGGUGGGGCCGGGAACAAGGGCCCCUGACCCUGUGUGCUGGCCGGGACCUGCCACCAGCCCCCCAGCCUGCUUCUUCCCCUUAAGCUUUGUGCCCCUGGAUGCGCUAACAUUCACUCUUGUUUGUCCCUGGACUGGCCAUGAAGUGAGGAGAUGGUUAUUUAAAGAGAAUUCCCUAUUUAUUUGACAAAAAAUCCAGUUAAUAUAUUAAUGUGAAAUAAACCCUGUUUGCACCUCG
rnacentral:lncRNA from 1 species